rnacentral:tRNA from 1 species
CAGAGAGUAGUUUAAUUUAGGAUCCUAGCUUUGGGAGUUAGGGGUAGGAGUUAAAAUCUCCUCUCUUUG